rnacentral:rRNA from 1 species
CUACGUGCCAGCAGCCGCGGUAAUACGGAAGGUCCGGGCGUUAUCCGGAUUUAUUGGGUUUAAAGGGAGCGUAGGCUGGAGAUUAAGUGUGUUGUGAAAUGUAGACGCUCAACGUCUGACUUGCAGCGCAUACUGGUUUCCUUGAGUACGCACAACGUUGGCGGAAUUCGUCGUGUAGCGGUGAAAUGCUUAGAUAUGACGAAGAACUCCGAUUGCGAAGGCAGCUUACGGGAGCACAACUGACGCUGAAGCUCGAAGGUGCGGGUAUCAAACAGGAUUAGAUACCCUGGUAGUCCGCACAGUAAACGAUGGAUGCCCGUUGUUAGUUCACUUAUGAAUUAGCGACCAAGCGAAAGCAUUAAGCAUCCCACCUGGGGAGUACGCCGGCAACGGUGAAACUCAAAGGAAUUGACGGGGGCCCGCACAAGCGGAGGAACAUGUGGUUUAAUUCGAUGAUACGCGAGGAACCUUACCCGGGCUUGAA